UACAGAGGUCCCAAGCGUUGUUCGGAUUCACUGGGCGUAAAGGGUGCGUAGGCGGUCGGGUAAGUCUGUCGUGAAAUCUCCGAGCCCAACUCGGAAACUGCGUCGGAUACUAUUCGGGUAGAGGAAUGGAGGGGAGACUGGAAUUCUCGGUGUAGCAGUGAAAUGCGUAGAUAUCUGGAGGAACACCGGUGGCGAAGGCGGCAUCCUGGACCAACACUGACGCUGAGUGAGCGAAAGCCAGGGGAGCAAACGGG
rnacentral:rRNA from 1 species